rnacentral:rRNA from 1 species
CCUACGGGUGGCAGCAGUAGGGAAUAUUGCUCAAUGGGGGAAACCCUGAAGCAGCAACGCCGCGUGGAGGAUGAAGGUUUUCGGAUUGUAAACUCCUUUUGUUAGAGAAGAUAAUGACGGUAUCUAACGAAUAAGCACCGGCUAACUCCGUGCCAGCAGCCGCGGUAAUACGGAGGGUGCAAGCGUUACUCGGAAUCACUGGGCGUAAAGAGCGCGUAGGCGGGAUAGCAAGUCAGAUGUGAAAGCCUAGGGCUUAACCAUAGAACUGCAUUUGAAACUGUUAUUCUAGAGUAUGGGAGAGGUAGGUGGAAUUCUUGGUGGAGGGGUAAAAUCCGUAGAGAUCAAGAGGAAUACUCAUUGCGAAGGCGACCUGCUAGAACAUAACUGACGCUGAUGCGCGAAAGCGUGGGGAGCAAACAGGAUUAGAUACCCGGGUAGUC